rfam:Ovis aries breed Texel chromosome 9, whole genome shotgun sequence.
UCCCAGGUGGCUCAGAUAGUAAACUGUCUGCCUGCAAUGCAGGAGACCCAGGUUCGAUCCCUGGGUUGGGAA